CAUGCAAGUCGAGCGGGGAUAGGGUGCUUGCACCUGAUUCCUAGCGGCGGACGGGUGAGUAAUACUUAGGAAUCUGCCUAUUAGUGGGGGAUAACGGCUCGAAAGGGUCGCUAAUACCGCAUACGUCCUACGGGAGAAAGCAGGGGAUCGUAAGACCUUGCGCUAAUAGAUGAGCCUAAGUCGGAUUAGCUAGUUGGUGGGGUAAAGGCCUACCAAGGCGACGAUCUGUAGCGGGUCUGAGAGGAUGAUCCGCCACACUGGGACUGAGACACGGCCCAGACUCCUACGGGAGGCAGCAGUGGGGAAUAUUGGACAAUGGGGGGAACCCUGAUCCAGCCAUGCCGCGUGUGUGAAGAAGGCCUUAUGGUUGUAAAGCACUUUAAGCGAGGAGGAGGCUCCCGUAGCUAAUAUCUACGGAGAGUGGACGUUACUCGCAGAAUAAGCACCGGCUAA
rnacentral:rRNA from 1 species